UAUGUUACAUUUAGUACUUUGUCUUUGAGAUUGAAUGGAAAUAUUUGGGCAACAACACACUACUGAAAGUAUUGCAGGAGGAGUACCCAGGGCCUAAUCAGUAAUAGGGCUAAUCAGUCAUCAUCUUCAGCUUCCAUUUCUCCACUGUCCACUGCCACUCGGAAUGCCAUUAUGCCACUAUUAUGCCAGGAAUGGAAGCAGAUCACGUGACUCCAUCUUGGGAGUACGUGAAGGAAGAGAAGAAUAAAGUGUCGCUGGACUGCUGAGCCCUAAAUUAUAAUAUUAAAAUAAAAUCAAUCAAACCUGUCUAUUCCGGACACCUUGGGACCCAAUACAACUGUCCUUAUUAAAGAAGUGUCCUUAUUUCAGAGGUUUUUAAAUACACAUUUAUAUUGUAUUGGGACUGAUACUACCUGUCCUGAUUAUAGAGGUAGGCCCUUGACUGUAGUGUGUUUUUCAGUUCUAAUGCAUGCUGGUUAUUUUGUCACUUCAUCUACACCUUCACCUUUAAUUUAACAACUCACCGUACUUUCUCUCUUCUCUCUAUUUCUAUAGGUUUAAAAUGGCAGCUAUUAAUGAUAGCCACACUCAAUUGAAACCUGGUACCAUGCACAUGUAUAGCUAAAUAUAACUUCAUUGGCUCACAUCCUCUUGUCUCUUCCUUCCUGAUGGGUGUUUGUUGACUGCACGACAUUUCCUGCGAUGAACCUCUGUUGCAUUGAUAUUACCCUUGAAGGUAGU
rnacentral:lncRNA from 1 species